AAAAAACCACGAACCCUUCUUCCUCCUCACCCUCACCAGUCACCAUCCAGCCAUCACCUCCAUUCUUUCAAUCUAUAUCGAAUCAGCUUCCCAGCGCCAGUUUCCCACCGUAAUCAAAACGCCACUAUCUCAUCUUCACUCUUCCCAUUUAUUUAUAACAAUCGAAAUUUAUGGCCACUAUCUUCACAGUCAUGGCCUCUUCCGAGAAUCUCCCUAUAAAACCUCAACUCUUCGAUUACACAGAGAAAGCAAAGAAAAACAAACAGUCACUCCAAUAAAAACAUGCCACCAAAAAAGGCAAAACAGUCUCCCCAACCGUUCACCUUUCAGAUUUUCGAUGACAUUGAUGGAGAUUUCUGUGACGAAGAAGUGUUAUAUUCAUGGGUCUAGAACUACUUAUCAUAGACUCCCAGGUAGUCAAAUGCAGUGCAAGGAUUCAUAUCUGCAAACCGGCUAUUCCACUAAGAAGAGCAUCUCAAGCGGAACUCCAUUUACAAGCUCAAAAAAAUCUACAAAGUCUCAGACCACAAACAUGGAAUCUGCUUCACCGAGAAGACGUCAAUGGUAAACGUGACUUUGGGAGAUCAUCAAAUUGACGAGCAGAAGGUUUCAGAUUCCGUAAUUUCGAAGAAUUUUCUGCAAUUGUCGACACAAAUAUUGAUCUCUUUGGUAAGCAAGGGUGAUUGGAGGUUACUCUGAUCUGAAUGAACCGUGACAAUAUCAUUUUCUAAUAAUUCAUUCUGAUGGCUGCUGAGGUGAUCAUGUGAACACAUGAAUCGGAAAGGGUUAGUGAAUCCACAAGUAAGGGAGAAACAGAAACGAGAGAAGAGACUCUCAAUCAUAUUCCACAUGUUUCUAUGAGUUUAACAUUCAGGGUUGUUUAAUAAGUGACAUGUUUUUUUAGUUGAUACAGAAACAUGGUCCUUCAUGUAUUCAUUGGGGAUAAAGAAUUUUCAGUCAAACAAACCCCUUUAACUCAUUAAUUGAGAUCUUCUCUUAGUUUUCUUUAUCCAACUGACGCCUUACUUCCAUUUCAGUUGAAUUAUAUAUGUGGAUUGGUGGAUCAUGUACGAUGACAAACCCAAGGUGGAUUGGUAGCUAGAGUGAUGUACUUUCUAUGUGCUAGAGAGGACACUUGCAACCACAUGUUCUUCUCUACUAAACGUUAAAUCAAAAAGAGAACAAAAAAAACAGAGCAAGUGGAGAUCUGUUGCUGACUGUUUAGGAGAUCUCCCAAGUACACACUACAAAGGAAUUAGAGCGAAAACCAGAGAGGAAGAAAUGUGAUUUACACAUUAUGGUUCUGAGAAGUAAGAUUAAGUCAUUGUCACGUUAAGGAUUAUAUGUAUAUAUAAAUCUAUCCAACCUUCUUUUUUGUCGAUCAAACUCUAUGGAUCAUUUAUAUCAUCUUAACCACUAGCAAAAUAGAAGAUAGAAGUUAAGAGAAAGAUUGCAUACAUCUAAUCCGAUAAAGUUUUCACA